rnacentral:tRNA from 1 species
GCGGCCGUAGCUCAGUGGUAGAGCACGACCUUGCCAAGGUCGUUGUCGUGAGUUCGAAUCUCAUCGGCCGCUCCA